GGCCUGAUUCGCUAUGGACGGUCGUUUUGAUAAAUUGAAAAUUAUUUUGGAGAAUAAAGUUAUUUCUUUAAUUUACUAAAAAACUAGAACAAACCCAGUUAGUAUAUAGUAGGUCGUCAUCGAAAUAGCCUUCUGUAAAGUUAGCGUGUCUUCUGCUUCCCCGUUUUUCUAUUUGGCUUGAAAAUCGGCGACUUUGUUAAUGGGUCAUUUGGGGUGUUUUUCGCUCUUGGGUUUACUGUUGAUUUAUGAUUAGAUUUAUGGCAUGCAAUUGGUUCGUAAUAUCUGCGGCAACCCUGAAGUCAGGUUCUCCUUCUAAGGCUUCUACCCUCUUUUCAAUCUUUAGACAUCUUCGUUUGUUCCUUCUCUAAUUUUGUGGUAUAUAUGAUUAUCCCAUGUCAGUUGGAUACAUUUAAUUUUUUUGAAAAAGAAAAUGAAGAGUAUGAUUGAUUAAUUUUCAUUUUAAAUCCAAUAUUUGUAAUAAAUUGGGUCCACCUGGAUAGAUGGGAUAUGAAUAUAAAAAAUUAAUCUUAUCCGACAUCCAAAUAGCUUAUAAUUCUGACUUACUUGAGUGGUCAAUUUGGGGAUUCAUAAUUUAAUUUUUUGUGUUUUAAGAUUGAUUAUUUGUAUUUAUUGAGUGGCUUUUUAAACAAAUACUAAUACAGUGUUCGAGCCAAAGUUGCUGGGUUUAAAUUAACCCAUAAGUGAUACAUUAGAUCCGCGCCCGAUAAGUUUCUUAGACAAUUUUCAACUAUACAAUAAAUAGGGAAAGCCUCAAGAAUUUAACUGAUAGGACUUAUAGAGCAUCAAUAACGUCAUCUAAGCAAUCAAAAGCACCCAACUUUAAGUUGUGUUGUACUACAUUGCAUCUUUCUGCCCGUGACAGAGUCUAGAAUACUAUGAAGGAGAUUAUAAAAAGUAUGAAUGUCACUCUCGAGAUUACAACGUGCAGCCUAAAUUAAUUUUUGUCAUAGUUGUUGAUGGAGGUUAGAGUUAUGGAUGGCCACAAGUCGAUUCGUCAUGGAUGAUGGUUUUGAUAAAUUGAAAGUUGUUUUGGAGAAUAAUGUUAUUUCUUUGAUUUACUAAAAAGCUAGAACAAGUGCAGUUAGUAUAGAGCCUUAACUGCAUAUAGAAAAAGAAGUUCAACAUAGAGAUUCUUUUUAGUCUAUUUGGAUGUGCUUCAUCUUUCUAUAUGUUAAUGCAACUGAAAUGUGAAUUAGGCAAAUAAAAAAUCUUAAUGGGGCAGAACUCCAGAUAUUAGAUGAAAUAUUUGAUUGGAAAACCAGUUUGCUGAUUCAAAUGGAAAAAAUUGUGAAUGUAUUAAAGUUGUCUGAUGCAAGUAACUAAUCUGUUUAUGAUGCUCUGCGAUCAGACAAUCACAAUUGUAUGCCAUUUAAUGACAUAUCAACUGAUAAACUACUCGAGGUGUUCAAGAAGAUGUUUGGACAUCAAACUUCUGCCACGAAAAAGGAAUGGCUGAAGCACCACAUAACAUUUGAUUUGCAAAAUCAAGACAUGUGGUAGGAUAACAAUUAGCUGAUCUGAAGGUAUAUCGUUGUUAGUAUCAUAUGUGCGAAAGGGAAGUGAUUACUUCCUCCAAUACAAGUACCAUCAGAAUGCAUCAAUUAAAAAGAGAAAAAAACAACUUCAUGGUAGAGCUUGCGGACUUGGUCAAAUGCAGCUUCCCUGUAGGUCAUACAAUUAUUUAAUUUACACACAAUCUAUGAAGUAGCUCUACAUUCUUUGCAUUACUUGUUUAUUAUUUUUCACAUAACUGAUAGGAAUUUUGUUUUUGUAAUAGCAACAUAACAUCUGAAUUAGCCGACAUUGAUUGGGACAACCUUGGCUUUGGCUUUACGCCUACUGAUUGUAUGUAUGUCAUGAAAUGUUCUGAAGGUGAAAACUUUUCUAAGGGUGAAUUACAUUGUUUCAGUAACAUUGAGUUGAGCCCAUCUGCUAAAUUAUUAAAUUAUGGACAUGUUAGUUUUUACACUUUUGUAUUAUGAUAGUAUCUCAUGAAACCUUUCUUAUUCUUAAAUAUAUUUCUUCUUUAUUAUUCAUUUGAAUGGUUACUGAUUCAGCUCAUUCGUCAGAGUCACCAAAAAUGCUAUUGGAAAUAUUAAUAGGAAUUGCUUGAAGGUUUAAAGGUAUAUCGAAAAUAUGACGGAAAUAUAUUGUUGUUACUACCUGAGGAAAAUGCAAUGCACUUGAAGAUGAGUGUUGAACGCACGUGUAUGCCUUCACCGUCUGCUGAACAGUUUGUGGAAGCAGUAAAAGCCACUGUUUUAUCACAAGAAAGAUGGGUAAUAUGUUACUUCUCUUUAGUUAAAAAUUAUCUUACUGAGUGACCCAUGCGCCCACUAAAUCUUUUUUUCUUUUCUUAUUGAUUCCUCCUCCUGGAAAAAAAAUGACUGUUUACAUUGGUAUUAUUUACUGUCGAUGAUAAAGCUGUUGCAUCAAGAAAUGAACACGUGGAAUUCUUUUGAUAGAUGGGAAAUAAUUCUCCUGCUAAUCUACACUUUGUAAAGUUCUAUCAUUCUUAAAGUUCUUCUUUUCUUCUUUGCAUUUUGCACUUUACACUUUGGUGGACUAUUCUGGAAAUUCCACGUGAGCUUGUGCCUGGGAGAUAAUGACACCAAGGAAAAUUACAUUUUUCACUAACAAAAAGAUUUGCCGGUAUCAAGAUGUGUCUGCUGCUAUACAUAUGCCACUGACUCAGUGAAUGACAACGGCCGCACAGGUUAUUUUGCUAAGACUAUUUGGAGGAACCAGCAGUUAAUCCUUUCCUUGCUGAAUUUUCUUUAGAAUCCACUCUGCGCCAUGAACCUACAUCAACUCCUGAAAAUGAUUGAGUGAAAAGAUAAAAAUAAAGUCAGCUUUGCGGUCAUCCGAGUUUCGACAAAAGCUUCCUGAUGGAUUUUCAAACGGAUAUGACUAAUCUGUCACGAAUAAGGAAUGGCUGAAGCACCACAUAACAUUUGAUUUGCCAAAUGAAGACAUCUCGCAGGACAACAUUUUCAGUGCAAUUCGAAAUGCUCUCUACAUUCGAGUGAAAAUGAAGGGGUUAAAGUCCGACCAGAAAGUCCUGAGGAGCUCCUUAUAGAAUCUACUGGCUUUGCAAGUGUAUUUAAUUACCGAAAAAAGCCAAGGGUUCAACACGUGGAAGAAGAGAACAUAUCCCGAAUUCCUUCAAAUUCUUAUGUGAGGCACGAGUUGAUUCUCCUGGUACUCUUUCGGACUAUAUAUUUUGAUAGUACUAUAUAUUUUGAUAGUAAUUUUAAAUUCUACCAUCUUACACAUAUUUGUAUCAGCAGAUGUUUCUGCAAACCCAUACGAUAUUUCUUUGUGGUCUUUUAUUUCUCUUUUGUGGAGAUAUUAUCACUGUACUUUUUACUUACAA